CUCUGAUCCCUCCACCUUUAAGCUUUCCUCUCUACACCCCUCUCACCCUCCAUCAGACAGGUCUUCACGGGGUCCAAAACAAAGUUAGACCGGUUACGAAAUGUACCUUGGGCUUUCACAUCCGCACCCGAUAUGCACAAAUAUAUUUUUUUAUAAUGUACAAACUCAAAGUUCCCGAAUGGACCCGAUGACAACUAGACCCGUUUCCUUUUAUACCUGGUCGGAUCCAGACCCGGUCCGAUCCGAGUGAGGGAGGCAGCAGAAUAAGUCAUUUAUUAAGCUACUUUAAUAAGCGGAGCUGGUAAGGCACGAGAGAAGGGAAAGAGAGGUGUCGUACUGUGAGAGAGGGACACAGGGAGGGAGAGAGAGAGGUGUCGUACUGUGAGAGAGGGACACAGGGAGGGAGAGAGAGAGGUGUCGUACUGUGAGAGGGACACAGGGAGGGAGAGAGAGAGGUGUCGUACUGUGAGAGAGGGACACAGGGAGGGAGAGAGAGAGGUGUCGUACUGUGAGAGAGGGACACAGGGAGGUAGAGAGAGAGGUGUCGUACUGUGAGAGAGGGACACAGGGAGGGAGAGAGAGAGGUGUCGUACUGUGAGAGAGGGACACAGGGAGGUAGAGAGAGAGGUGUCGUACUGUGAGAGAGGGACACAGGGAGGGAGAGAGAGAGGUGUCGUACUGUGAGAGAGGGACACAGGGAGGUAGAGAGAGAGGUGUCGUACUGUGAGAGAGGGACACAGGGAGGGAGAGAGAGAGGUGUCGUACUGUGAGAGAGGGACACAGGGAGGUAGAGAGAGAGGUGUCGUACUGUGAGAGAGGGACACAGGGAGGGAGAGAGAGAGGUGUCGUACUGUGAGAGAGGUAUACAGGGAGGGAGAGCGCAACCAACCAAGCCGACUCGAGCUAUAGUAGACUAAUAGCUGUAUAGGUCAUUUAUAAUGAACUAUGUAGUUGACUACUAGCUGCCUAGGUUAUUUAUAAUCAACUACGAUGACGUACAGUUAACAACAACUCUAUUCAGAACAUGAGGUAGCUAACGUUAGCUAGCUAGGCUAAUUUCUCAUUCUACAUUAACAACAACUCUAUUCAGAACAUGAGGUAGCUAACGUUAGCUAGCUAGGCUAAUUUCUCAUUCUACAUUAACAACAACUCUAUUCAGAACAUGAGGUAGCUAACGUUAGCUAGCUAGGCUAAUUUCUCAUUCUACAUUAACAACAACUCUAUUCAGAACAUGAGGUAGCUAACGUUAGCUAGCUAGGCUAAUUUCUCAUUCUACAUUAACAACAACUCUAUUCAGAACAUGAGGUAGCUAACGUUAGCUAGCUAGGCUAAUUUCUCAUUCUACAUUAACAACAACUCUAUUCAGAACAUGAGGUAAGCAGCCCUGUUGGCUCUUGGUCGUUAUUAGCCGUCCUUCUCCUUUAACUUUUAAUUCCAUCUCCUUUGAUUAGA